UACGGGGGGGGGCAAGCGUUGUUCGGAAUUACUGGGCGUAAAGGGCUCGUAGGCGGCCAACUAAGUCGGACGUGAAAUCCCUCGGCUUAACCGGGGAACUGCAUCCGAUACUGGAAGGCUCGAGUUUGGGAGAGGGAUGCGGAAUUCCAGGUGUAGCGGUGAAAUGCGUAGAUAUCUGGAGGAACACCGGUGGCGAAGGCGGCAUCCUGGACCGGUAUUGACGCUGAGGCGCGAAAGCCAGGGGAGCAAACGGG
rnacentral:rRNA from 1 species